rnacentral:lncRNA from 1 species
CAACAUGGGACUCAAUCCUGGGACUCUAGGAUCACAUCCUGGGCUGAAGGCAGCGCUAAACCUCUGAGCCACCCAGGCUGCCGGAGUUCAUAUUGUUAUUGGCAUUAUUAAACAGUAUUUUUCUUAAAAUUCUUUUUAUAUUUUCUUUUUCCUUUGAUGUUGGAAAUUCUUGGUUACCAAUAAUAUUAAUGUAGGGUAUAGUCAGAAUAGUAUGUUAAGUUACCCAAAAUAACUUUCUCUUUCCUUGUUGGUUCAGUAACUAGUUUUAUAUAGAGUUAGGUUAUUUGUUUCUUUUAAGCUCCAGGUUUAAUGGAUUUUCUUUAUGAUUAACUUUUGUUUUUGAGGUUGUUGUUUUUUAAGAUUUUAUUCAUUUAUUCAUUACACACACACACACACACACACAGAGGCAGAGACACAGGCAGAGGGAGAAGAAGGCUCCAUACAGGGAGCCCGAUGUGGAACUUGAUACUGGGACUCCAGGAUCACGCCCUGGGCCAAAGGCAGGUGCUAAACUGCUGAGCCACCCAGGGAUCCCCUGUUUUUGAGUUAAAAAAAAAUAUAUGGUUCAAAAAUCAAUCAACACAUUUAGUUAGAGAAGCCUCACUCCCAUGCGCAUCUUCUUCACUCUGUUUUAUUUUCAUUCAUUUCUGAUUUCUCCUUUCCUGCAUUUCUUUUUGCAAAAAUCAGCAAAUAUGGAGUUACAGUUGUGGAACAACACAAGGAUUAAGGAUAUGGUCUCCCUCAAAACUUAACUACUAAUAUCUCACUAUAGUAUUAUAUACUGUAUCCUUGUGAUAAAAUAAGCUUGAGAAAAGGUUAUUAAGGAAAUCAUAAGGAAGAGAAAAUACAUUUACAGUAUUGUAUUGUACUAUACUGUACUUAUAUAAGUGAACCCAUUCAAUUCAAAUUGUAUUGUUCAAGGGUUAAUACACAUUUUAAUUUCCCCUUUUUUCUUAGCAAAAUGGAGAACACUAAAUACUCUGUUCUUUGUCUAGACUUUUUUUCUUUUAAUAACAUAUAUGCAAGGAAUUGUUCCAUAUUGGUUCAUAGAUAGCUUAAAUGCUAAAAUUCACUGUUUACUAUAUACAUAUGUCAAGUGUAUUAGGGUAGGCCAGGCAAUGUUGCAAUAACAGAGAAAUCCCCAAUUCUUCACAAAUAAAGGUUGGUUUCUCGCUCACAUAAAGUCCUAUAUGGGGGAGCACUGGGUGGCUCAGUGGUUGAGCUUCUGCCUUUGGCUCAGGGUGUGAUCUUGGAGUUCUGGGAUAGAGUCCUGCAUGGGGGGCUCCCCACAGGGAGCCUGCUUCUCUCUCUGCCUAUGUCUGUGUCUGUCUCUCUCUCUCUGUGCCUCUCAUGAAUAAAUAAAAUCUCUAAAAGAAAGUCCUAUGUGGGGUAGGACACCCUCCUAUGCCUUACAGCCACAUGACUUGGAGCAUAUGUCCCCCAUGAUAGCCAGGCUGGGUAGCCAAGCCUGGAAACAGCCCAUGCCACAUGGCCCCAGAGCAAUACAAGGGAGGUUGAAAAUGUGUCUCAUUCGUCAUGAAGGGGAAACAGAAACAGGAUUUGGUGAAUUAUAUAGCAUCAUCUCUGCCACAACAGACUUCACAUUCAUCCUCUUAUAUAAACCCCACAACAGUUCUACAAGUUAAGUACUUUUAUUAUGCCCAUCUUACAGCAGAGGACAUUGAAGCUUCAAGCUUUUUAAAAAUUUUAUUUAUUAAUUCAUGAGAGGCACACAGAGAGAGGCAAAGACACAGGCAGGGAGAAAAACAGGCUUUCUGUGGGGAGCCCAAUGUGGGAUUCAAUCCCAGGAUCCUGGGAUCAUGACCUGAGCCAAAGGCAGAUGCUCAACCACUGAGCCACCCAGGCGUCCCGAGGCAUCAAGCUUCUAUAUUCCUUUCAAAAUUAGAGUGUUCCUGUGUGUCAAGAUUAAUUUCAGAUCCAGGUGUAUCUGGUAUAGCCCACUAAGAAACCACAGCAAACCCAUUUCAUCCAUGCAUAAAAGCAAAAUUUGCAGAAACGGAGAUCAGAGCAAUUGGUGUAGGAAAUAAAUAUUUAGACUUAGGAUUCAUAAGCUAUUUCUUACAAAAAAGUGCAAAAUAAAAAUUAAACCCCUGGAACCAUAAAGACUAAAGCAUCACAGGACUCGGUGUUUCAGUAACAUUGGAUGAUAAAACAGCUUUAUUUAUAAUUUCUGAAUCACGAGCUAAAUGUUAUAGAAUUUUUUUGAAGUACAAAGUGAGAUUGUAAACACUUUCUUCCUCUUCCUAAGUAAAAGCAUCAUAUGUUCACUGGAUGUUAGAAAUAAUGACUCUUUCAAAACCAUUUGGGAUAGUUCUGAGGAAUUAAACCAGGUAAUCUCCAUAGAAUUUUAAGUUGAAAAACCUUCCUUUUAGAGGAGGAAAUAAAUAAAAUUUAAAGGCCAUUUGGACAGUGCUUUUAGUAUCACAUUUAUUAUAUUUAUAUUUUUAAGAAUUUUAUUUAUUUAUUCAUGAGAGACACAGAGACAGAGGCUGAGACAUAAGCAGAGGGAGAAGAAGGCUCCCUGUGGGGAGCCCAAUGUGGGGCUCAACUGCUGAGCCACCCAGGCAUCCCCUUCCUUAACGUUUUUAAUGGGGAAACAAUGUAUUAUUCUUGGAAUGCCUAUGCUAUUUUCCAUUACCCUACAAACUUGGUCCUCUGGGCUCAAAUUUGUACAAUUUACAACUUCAUUUCUAACAUUUUACUAUGUAUCUAUGAGACUAUGGCCGAUCUCUUUUUAGGGAUUUGGCUUACUGGAAUCUGUAAAUUUCACUCAGGUUUUAGCCCAAAGUCCUUCCUCAUUCACUGUGUCAUGUUUCUGUUCUCAUUUUCUCAAAAUGAUUAGGUUAAGUCUUCAGCAUUCUGUAUCUCUCUCCCACUCCUCUUAGUUUUGAUUCCACACCUUCCCAGGCAGGAUUUCCAUAUAGUGCUUCAUUAAAACUUUGGUUUCCUCUGUGGCUGCUCCCAUCUAGUGACACCUUACAGCUGUUCACUCUCCACUCCAGUCCCCCAAGAUAUUGCUGGGGGUUGGAUGGUACUAAAGAAGAUGGAAAGGAAUAAGACUAGGGACAGCUGCACCACAAUAAAUUCCAAUACAAGGCAAAGAAGAAUCAGUGCUGACAAUUAUGGUGGUCUCAAAGAGGGAGUAGCAUUUGAGAUGGUAAUAAAAGACUUCCAAAGAUUUUGUGGGAGAAGAGAAGAAUGAAGUAGAACCCAGCCUAAGGGAGGGGAGAUGAAUUCGGAGUCUCCAUGUCUCUCAGACCAAAGAUCCCUGGUCUCUUCCCUGGAAUGAAGUGCCUGUGGUAUUCUAGGUAUUGUCAAAGUCCAGAAAAAAGUAAGUUAUUUUUUUAUACACAAACACACACAUAUACACACAAACAUACACAUCCCAUUCUCUACUGAAAUUCUAUUGUUUUUUGCCCACUCAAGAAAGUAUCUUAGAAUUAAAGCAUGUGGGAUGCCUGGAUGGCUUGUAGGUCAAGCAUCCAACUCCUGGUUUCAGCUCAGGUCAUGAUCUCAUGGUCAUGGGAUCCAGCCCCUUGUUGAGUCCUGCAUUGGGCUUUCUGCUCAGUAGAGAGUCUGCUUGAGAUUCUUCUUCUUUUUAAAUAUUUUAUUUAAAUUCAAUUUGCCAACACAUAGUAUAACACCCAGUGUUCAUCUCAUCAAGUGCCCUCCUUAGUAACCCUCUGCUUGGGAUUCUUUCUCCCCUUUCCCUCUGCCCCUCCUCCUUGCGCACAUGCUCUCUUUCAAAUACAUAAAUAUAUUUUUUAAAGAUUUUAUUUAUUUAUUCAUGAGAGACGAGAGAGAGAGAGAGGCAGAGACACAGGCAGAGGGAGAAGCAGGCUUCAUGCAGGGAGCCUGACGUGGGACUCGAUCCCAGAUCCCCAGGAUCAGGCCCUGGACUGAAGGCGGCACUAAACCGCUGAGCCACCAGGGCUGCCCCUACAUAAAUAAAUCUUAAAAAAAACAAACAAAAAA